UACGUAGGGUCCGAGCGUUGUCCGGAAUUACUGGGCGUAAAGAGCUCGUAGGUGGUUUGUCGCGUUGUUCGUGAAAACUCACAGCUCAACUGUGGGCGUGCGGGCGAUACGGGCAGACUGGAGUACUGCAGGGGAGACUGGAAUUCCUGGUGUAGCGGUGGAAUGCGCAGAUAUCAGGAGGAACACCGGUGGCGAAGGCGGCUUUCUGGUCUGUAACUGACGCUGAGGCGCGAAAGCGUGGGGAGCAAACAGG
rnacentral:rRNA from 1 species